rnacentral:misc_RNA from 1 species
AAGUCGUAACAAGGUUUCCGUAGGUGAACCUGCGGAAGGAUCAUUCAUAAUAAAAGUGUUUUAUGGCACUUUUCAAACAAUCCAUAUCCACCUUGUGUGCAAUGUUUUUUCAUUAUCAACUCUCUUUAAUUUAUUUUGUCUGAAAUAUAUAUUAUGAAUAACUUAAUUCAAAAAUAUAACUUUCAACAACGGAUCUCUUGGCUCUC